AGUGAACGCUGGCGGUAGGCCUAACACAUGCAAGUCGAACGGCCGCACAGUAAGAGCUUGCUCUUACGGGUGGCGAGUGGCGGACGGGUGAGGAAUACAUCGGAAUCUACUUUUUCGUGGGGGAUAACGUAGGGAAACUUACGCUAAUACCGCAUACGACCUACGGGGGAAAGCAGGGGAUCUUCGGACCUUGCGCGAUUGAAUGAGCCGCUGUCGGAUUAGCUAGUUGGCGGGGUAAAGGCCCACCAAGGCGACGAUCCGUAGCUGGUCUGAGAGGAUGAUCAGCCACACUGGAACUGAGACACGGUCCAGACUCCUACGGGAGGCAGCAGUGGGGAAUAUUGGACAAUGGGCGCAAGCCUGAUCCAGCCAUACCGCGUGGGUGAAGAAGGCCUUCGGGUUGUAAAGCCCUUUUGUUGGGAAAGAAAAGCAGCAGGUUAAUACCCCGCUGUUCUGACGGUACCCAAAGAAUAAGCACCGGCUAACUUCGUG
rnacentral:rRNA from 1 species